AGCGAACGCUGGCGGCAGGCCUAACACAUGCCAGUCGAACGAACUCUUCGGAGUUAGUGGCGGACGGGUGAGUAACACGUGGGAACGUGCCUUUUGGUUCGGAAUAACUCAGGGAAACUUGUGCUAAUACCGAAUGUGCCCUUCGGGGGAAAGAUUUAUCGCCAUUAGAGCGGCCCGCGUCUGAUUAGCUAGUUGGUGAGGUAACGGCUCACCAAGGCGACGAUCAGUAGCUGGUCUGAGAGGAUGACCAGCCACACUGGGACUGAGACACGGCCCAGACUCCUACGGGAGGCAGCAGUGGGGAAUCUUGCGCAAUGGGCGAAAGGCUGACGCAGCCAUGGCGCGUGAAUGAUGAAGGUCUUAGGAUUGUAAAAUUCUUUCACCGGGGACGAUAAUGACGGUACCCGGAGAAGAAGCCCCGGCUAACUUCGUG
rnacentral:rRNA from 1 species